AAAUAAAAUUAAAGAUAUUGAUUCAAUAAAUUAUUAAAUUCUAUAAUUAAAUAUUCUACUAUCAAUUUAGAAUUUUUUUUUUUUUCUUCACAAAACUGGCAUUCAUUAAAAGAAGGGAUUGGUCUUAAAAAACUGGCAAAAUAAACCGACAAAAGCAAAUGAAAGGACAACCGAGACAGGAACAGCCACACAAAACAGGAAAAGCAAAAGUACAUAGAACGCUAAAACUAAAAAAGAAGAACACAACAAUCCCUAAAAGAAACCUACAAAAUACCAGCCAAACCUUUCCUUUCUCCUUCGAAAAACCAUUAUAGCCAACUGAAAAGGAAAGCCAGCUUUGAAGAACGAACAUCGGAGAUUCAAAGAACCUUUUCCAAAACUUCAAAGCCCAUAGAACUCCUCAUCGCUGACGACUCCAAUCCAACCAGUCAUCUACCACCAAGAUUUUGACAGAACCUAGAGCCUUUUCAACCCAAAAGCAAGGUGAAAACUGUCUUCUCCCUUCCAACACCAAAGCAUGAGCCGCCCAAUUAGCAUUUCUUGGAUCAAAAUGGUAAUUCACCUCCUCUAGAUAGCCCUUAAGUAUCCGAAUAUUCUGAGAAAUAGGUCUGAGAAUGGAUCUAUCUUCCUUGACUGUUGAAAGCUUCUUGAUAAUUGUUAGGGAAUCCCUCUCUAGUAAAACCCUCCUGAACCCUAUAUUAAUUGCAAAGAGGAGAGCACGUUCACAGGCCCUAGCUUCCGCAACAAAUGCAUCUGUAACUUCGGCAUAAGAGUAAAUACAAGCACCCAUAAUUAAACCCUCUUCAUUACAGGCUAGAAAAGCCACAGUAGUGCGAUUAGAAUCGCCUUGAAAAGAGGCGUCAGAAUUAAGUUUAAUAACCCCUGGGUUGGGGGGUCACCACAACUCAUCCACAGAAGGUUUUAGAUUAACUACUGGAACUUUACACAAGCUUAACUCAUAGGCAUAACACUGAACAAACCCCAACAGAUCCUGCUGGGAAAAUUUCAAACCUUCAUGAACCACUUUAUUACGUUUAAACCAAAAGACUUAAAAAGAAAUAGUUAACAACUUUCUUGUAUCUUUAUCAGCUGUUAUAAAAGUGCUCACUAACUGAUUUUUACCAUUCGAGAUAAUCCUGUUGCAAUCGGUCAAAAGAUUCAGAGACUGCCACAGUUGUCGUAGUGCUCCACAACACCACAAUAAAUGGUCAAUAUCUUCUGGCAUCUCUUUGCACAGAGGACAACAUUGUCUACUUACAAUCUUCGUUUGUUUAAGUUACUGUAAUGAGGCACGUAGCUUUGUAAUAGUCGCCACAUGAAUUUUAAGUUUGGAAGGAGUUUGUAAAUCACAGAGCGACUUGUAGAAUUGUUUGUAAAUGUCUGUAGUAGUCGAAUUAUGACCAGUAUAUUGUCUGUCUGCUGUAAGUAAGGCUCGGUAUCCACUCUACACUGAUUACUCCCCAGUGACAUCAUGUCACCAAACCAGCAUGUCUCGCACUCGUGAAUAUGCAAGAGGAAUUUUGAAAAUACAAGCAGCCUGCUUAUGGUCAACAAUCCAACAAAUGACUUCCUUAUUCCAGGUACCCGAACUAACAUCAAUUAAUUGAUUCACUGUAGUCCAUUGAGUACUCAUACUCUAAACUGAAACCCUACUACUACUAGGGCCAGGCAACCAAGGAUCAUUCCAAAUACUCACAGCCUCGCCACUACCAAUACACCGAAGUAAACCAUCGAAAAUCAACUCUCAAGCACUACAUAUGCUUCUCCAGGUAAAAGAGGGGUAAGAGCUAACUCUGGU
rnacentral:lncRNA from 1 species